rfam:Brassica napus, WGS project CCCW01000000 data, contig: 7876
AAACCAUGGUGUGGGCAUUGAGCUUGGUAGCCCUUGAAUCUCUCCCAGGCUUCACUGAAUCCUUCCAAGUUUUUCUGUUGAAAGUUGAAAAUCUCAUUUCUCAGCUU